AGAUAACUCUUUCUCUAGGGUUUAUAGCACGCUUGUAUCGCAUUGUUCCUCGCUCAUCGGCUUGGUCGUUGUUCAGGAAUGGACUGUAACUCUCAGUCUUCUGGUUUUCAGUCUCCUGGAGUUGGAUCAAUGGGCACUCAAAGUUCUACUCCACCCUUCCUUAUGCAGCCACCUAGAGUUGGAUCAAUGGGCACUCAAACUUCUUUUCAACACUUCCAUAUGCAGCCUCCUGGAGUUGGAACAAUGGGCCCUCAAAGUUCUGCUCCACCGUUCACUAUGCAGCCUCCUGGAGUUGGAACAAUGGGCCGUCAAAAUUUUGCUCCACCGUUCCCUAUGCAGCCUACUAGGCCUCUUGGAGUUGGAACAAUGGGCCCUCAAAGUUCUGCUCCACCGUUCCCCAUGCAGCCUCCUGGGCUUUCUGGAGUUGGAACAAUGGGACCUCAAAGUUUUGCUCCACCGUUCCCUAUGCCGCCUCCUAGGCCUCCUGGAGUUGGAACAAUGGACCCUCAAAGUUCUGCUCCGCCGUUUCCUAUGCAGGUGAUUCUGGCAGAGCAAGGACAUGCAACUUUGGGUUCGCAACUAUUUUGUUCAUUUUGGCAUGGUAGAUCUUUACCUAAUGUUGGGAUGCCUUUUAGUUUGGAUCAGCCUCUGCUGUUUUCUCAACCAAUGCAGCAAUUACCUCCAAGGCUUGGCCAGCCAAACAUACGACAGACCCAGCAGACUGGUUUAGGUGGUCCUGGAGCACCUUUCUCAUCCUAUAGUGGAAGUUUCUCCUCAUCGCAUACUUCUGCAUCAUCUUCUUUUGGCCAGCAAACAAAUGUUACACCUGUGCAGGUGACUGGGCAACAACCCUCAGUUACUGCUGCAACAGUUCCAAUAACGCAAUCAAUACAAGUAUCAUUACUAGAGGCCGCGGAUGUUAUUGGGGUUGGUGGAGCCAAUGUUGCUUACAUUCACCAGACUAGUGGAGCAAAUCUAAUUGUGUCAGAGACCGAGGGUGUUCCUGAACAGAUGACUAUUGAAAUGGAAGGCACCUCUUCAGAAGUUGAUAAUGCUGAACGACUUAUACAGGAGUUUAUUAAGAACGGAACCAGCUCCAAGCAUCGAAAGCGUCUACAAGGACUGCAUCCUGGAGUUGGAUCAAUGGGUACUCAAAGUUAUGCUCCAACGUUCCCUAUGCAGCAAAUCCAUUUGCUACACAGGGGGUUCUGUCACAGCAAGGACAUGCACCUUUGGCUUCGCAACAAUUUUAUUGUUCAGGUUCACAUGGUAUAUCUUCACCUAAUGUUGGGAUGCCUUUUAGUCUGGGUCUGGGUCAGCCUAUGCUGUUUUCUCAACCAAUGCAGCAAUUGCCUACAAGGCAUGGCCUGCCACUGCCAAACAUACCACAGACUGAGCAAACUUUUUUAGGUUGUACUGGAACACCUUUCUCGUCAUCCUAGAGUGGAAGUUUCUCCUCAUCGCAUACGGGCAAGGAUGUUGUAGAUGAUGCACCCCCGGUAAGCUUAGAUGUAGAUUGAUGAAUAUUUUGGUAUCUUUUGUAAAGGCCUUCUUUUGACGAUUGACUAUUUGUAAUGACCUUAUUCUUUUGUCGACUUCCAUGUGAAGAAGUAUUUUCCAUGUGAAGAAGUAUUUAUGGCCACGGAGGCCUUUAAUUGUAAUCUUACUCUUCUGGAUACAAUUUCAUUUAUGGUUAAUUUAAUGUAGAUAAAAGUGUGGUUUUAUCUA